AGGUUAUGUUGUCCUGGCGCUUAUCAUCAUAGUGAUUAUAAUUCUGUGUAUCAUCCUCUACCUCUUGAGGCGAGCCUCCAGGACAUAUUCAUUUGACCUCCAGCGUCCAAAUCCUGUUGGUCAUCUCAACCAGCCCACUGGCACCUUUGAGCCAGUCUACCUGGAUGAUCUGGAGCGACCGGUACCUAAAGAUAUUGAAGCCACCGAUGACCUUUCACCUCCACCGGUCGCUAAUGGCACGAGUCUACAGUCGGAGGAAAAGGACUCCACUGGAGAGAACGCUCCUGAGGAACAGCCAGAAGCAAACGGUGUGGAGACUUCACCCGCUGAAAACACCACUCCCUCACUGAGUAGCGAUGAAGCUGACAAGAUAUCCAACCCACCGAGCAGUACCAGCCUUUUCUUUGAUGCUAUUGGGGAGCAGCAGAAUGAAAACAACAACAACCCAACAGUUUGCUCCAGUGACCCAUUUGUUGAAAUAAACCUGGACGAGCCGGCAUGGUGUGAUCAGCUCCUCAAUUCUUCUGAAGGUUCUUCCUCGGUCUUCCCCUUCUCUCCAUUCUCUUUAUCCUCCUCUUCCUCUUAGCACUUUGAAUGUUAUCCUCUUCCAUCAACAUAUAGGCAGAAACUGUCUUUCGUAGCACA